CUCACUCACUUACCGAGAUGUUUUGAGGCAGACACGCCAGCGUUCCUCCUGCCAGCGGAGGGAACUGAGCUCUCUCUGGGCACGACACGCACAGGAAAUAAGUAGCAUGCAGCAGAAAUGGGAAGAUGAACAAAAUCAGCUUCUCAGAAAGCACAAGAAAGUCCUGUCUCAGAAAAAUGUGGUACACAAACUCUGCCAGCUGCUAGUGCCACCAGUCAAGGGUGAAGAGGGAAGCAAAGCACACUCUGAACAGUUGCUUGCAUUUAACACCUUAAUAGCUGGAAUUGAAUAACACACGCUGCAUCUGCUGCAUUUAGUGUGCACAUAGCGAAAUGUCACAUGACAUUAAAACCAGAAAGUGUUGAUUGCACAAUCUCAUUAGAUGAGCUCUUUGAAGCAGAAAUGAGUGAAAUGUUCAUCUUAUCUCUUUAAUCAACAUGCUUAUAAAUUUGAUUACAAAUUCA